GAUGAACGCUAGCGACAGGCUUAACACAUGCAAGUCGAGGGGCAGCAUAGAAGUAGCAAUACUUUGGUGGCGACCGGCGCACGGGUGAGUAACGCGUAUGCAACCUACCUAUCAGAGGGGAAUAACCCGGCGAAAGUCGGACUAAUACCGCAUAAAACAGGGGCACCGCAUGGUGAUAUUUGUUAAAGAAAUUCGCUGAUAGAUGGGCAUGCGUUCCAUUAGGUAGUUGGUGAGGUAACGGCUCACCAAGCCGACGAUGGAUAGGGGAACUGAGAGGUUGGUCCCCCACACUGGUACUGAGACACGGACCGGACUCCUACGGGAGGCAGCAGUGAGGAAUAUUGGUCAAUGGGCGGGAGCCUGAACCAGCCAAGUCGCGUGAAGGAAGAAGGAUCUAUGGUUCGUAAACUUCUUUUGCAGGGGAAUAAAGUGCGGGACGUGUCCUGUUUUGUAUGUACCCUGAGAAUAAGGAUCGGCUAACUCCGUGCCAGCAGCCGCCGUAACAC
rnacentral:rRNA from 1 species